UUUGCAUAGGUUUACAAGGUUGAGUAAAGAGUUGAAAAAUGGUGCCAGAAAAAGAUUAAUUGACUGAGGGAUCACAUAUGGUAGGGAAAAAUAUCACUUAAAAAUUUCCUUCAUUUCAUGACAAGGUAGCUUGAACUCUCUCCAUAUAAUGUGGUUUGGAAUGGAAAAUGUCGACUACUAAGUUUGGGACUACUACUCCUGCUCAGUUGGAAUGAUGAAUUUGGAUUUACAUGUGAUGACUGUUUUGCUUUGCUGAUGGCCACGAAUUCGAUCCACAAUGUGUUGAUUUUGUUUUACUUGGAUUUAUCAAAGGACUAUCAAGUUACCAUUCAUCGACACAACGGAUUGGACUCUUUUUCCUUAACAAAAGGUACUAUGAAUUGAUUGAGUUCAACAUCUGGCAUUUAAGGGGAAAGGGCAAAAAGAUAUUGAAAUAAGGCUUUAUGAAAUAGAUGUUAUUGUUAAUCAGAUUAGUUGUGCUGCUACGUACAAUUCACAUGCAUAUGGAGCAUGUUUUGGUAAUUUAUUAUUCAAAAUCUGGAAGUGGUGGGGGAAAGUAACAAGGACUGAAUAAGGACUUAAAAAACUGAUGUGUUUGCUAAUUAGAAUGUUAGUGCUUUAGCAAUUGAUGUGUG